CUGAUGGACAUAAGGUGGGAAAAGCUGCUGGAGCAUCCUCGUACAGUGACUUUUGAGGAGCAGCAUCACAGAGAAAUGCCAUGGCAUGGUGGGGAAUGGCACUGAGAGCUGCUGGCCAUCAGGAAGGAGUCUAAGGAAAGGGAAUAUUUUCAUUAUAAACCUCGUUAUGACAAGUGUGUUGGGGUCUUGCAAGGCUGCAUUGCUAAAUGAGGAAAUUAAAGCACAGGGAGGUCAGAAGCUAACAUUUUCCAACUUGGGCAACUGAAGUGUUUCCAAGGGCCACCCCCACUGAGGUUGCAUGAAAGGGCCCUAAGGCAUUUCAGCUGCUGCUGGGUAACACAGAACACUGCAGGGACUUCAGCGUGGGAGCUGCUGAGCACUGAGGAGGGAACAGAUGCCUGGCUGGAGCCAAAGGUGACCUGUCAUUGCUUUCAAGCAGGAUCCAUCUUCUGGCCGAGUGGCCGGGCUGGGGUGGCCAGCAGAGCAGCACGUGCUCCUCCUGGCUCAGCAGCAAGUAAGACAAUCCUGGGACACUGCAGAAGAUAUAAGGACAAGAUCAGUGAAAGACCCACUGUGGGUCUGAAAAGCAGCUGUGCCUACGGCUCUCCAGUGGUGGGAUAUCUGAACUGCCUCAAGCUGAGCAGGGAAUUGAACCAAGGACUCCCACAAUUUGUUUUCCC